AACAACAAAGCUCGAAAGACGGAGCCCGAGACUCGGGGGCUCCUAGCAACGGGCCGGGGCGGGAAUUCCAUGGAGACUGGGGAGCGCGCCCGCCUCAUCAUCAUCCUCUUCCUCCAGCUUAUGCUUCGUUUCCGACACAACCGGCAGCAGCGCUGCCACCGCGUCCUCUGCCAAAGCCCCCUCUUCCCACGGAUGUGAUCUUCGUGGUGGGAAGCUAAGUUUUUAAACUACCCCAAUGGAUGCAGACAGUGAUGUUGCAUUGGACAUUCUAAUUACAAAUGUAGUCUGUGUUUUUAGAACAAGAUGCCAUUUGAACUUAAGGAAGAUUGCUUUGGAGGGAGCAAAUGUAAUUUAUAAGCGUGAUGUUGGAAAAGUAUUAAUGAAGCUUAGAAAACCUAGAAUUACAGCUACAAUUUGGUCCUCAGGAAAAAUUAUUUGCACUGGAGCAACAAGUGAAGAAGAAGCUAAAUUUGGUGCCAGACGUUUAGCACGCAGUCUGCAGAAACUAGGUUUCCAGGUAAUAUUUACGGAUUUUAAGGUUGUUAACGUUUUGGCAGCAUGUAACAUCCAUUUGAAAUCCGUUUGCCAGAAUUCACAAAGAACAAUAGACCUCAUGCCAGUUAUGAACCUGAACUUCAUCCUGCUGUGUGCUAUCGAAUAAAGUCUCUAAGAGCUACAUUAUAGAUUUUUUCAACAGGAAGUAUCACAGUAACAGGGCCCAAUGUAAAGGCCCUUGCAACUGCUGUGGAACAUAUUUACCCAUUUGUGUUUGAAAGCAGGAAAGAAAUUUUAUAAUUCAUUACUUAAUUGGUUAGAAUCUCUAACUGAGCACCUUUUAAAACCUGCACAUUUGGACUCAAAAGGAAAACUGGACCAACAAUAAUUGAGGAAAUAGACUCUUUUACUCAUUCACGGCUACAGUGUAAGCUCCAGUCCCUUUGGAUUUUAUUCCAAACGUUGCUGUAAUAUAAAAAGGAAGUUUACAAGACAUGACAUUGCUGCUUUUACAAAAGGACAUUCUAUUUAUUUUCGCAGUAAUUCUCAUGUCCACAUAAGCAGAGCUGUCACAGUGUGCACUACCUUAGAUUGUUUUAUUGUUGUCAUUGUUAUUUUUUUCCAGUUUGAGCUAAAAUGUUUUAUUUGUGAAUAGUCUUUUACAUUUUUGUAUGCUGAAUAUGGGCACCAAAGAACCUGUAAAAGUUAUCUUUUUCAAUUGAAUGUGCACAAAUAAAUGUUUGGAAAAGAAAAAAA